rnacentral:lncRNA from 10 species
GUUUAGUAAAAGGGACAGGAUGUUAGCAAAGGAAGGCAUUACCAGCAAUAAGAAGUGAUAGCUGCCACGGGAAGCAAAUGCAGAAACAGCAGCCUGGGCUGUUCCAUGCAGGGUUUACUUCCUGAAGCGAGCACCUGGGCCUCACACUCCUGAGGAUGGGGGAGAUCCGGCGCCACCUCCUGGCUGUUUCCAAGGCGGAGAGAAGGAGCCCGGGGCUGCAAAACCUGUCAGAGGAUCCCAGACUGAGGCGGACUCAGGGAGGUUUCCCACGCCUAAGAUUUCAUCCCUAACCAAUCAGCGAUCACCACUCCAAAACCCUUGAAAGCCCCCCCCAACUCCUCAGCGAGAUUGAGUGAUAACUCAAUCUCCAGGGUGGCCGGCCUCGGGUCAUAAACUAUUUCUUUACUGCAAUAAUAAUGAUACAAUAAAAUAAAUUUACAUACAUCUCAAGGAGACAGAGGUAGCGUUUACAAUUUCAGCUUUAUUAAAGGAAGUAGGAAGUGGGAGGGGGUGCCUUAUUCCCUUUCUUUGCACCGGAAAAAAUACAAUUUUUUUCUCUAGAUUUGUGUUUACCAACAACACACACACAUACUCAUAUACACACAUAUGUACAUAUACCCCAUUCACACACAGAUAUACACAAUAUAUGUACACUCAUGAAC